GAUGAACGCUGGCGGCGUGCCUAAUACAUGCAAGUCGAGCGAAUGGAUUAAGAGCUUGCUCUUAUGAAGUUAGCGGCGGACGGGUGAGUAACACGUGGGUAACCUGCCCAUAAGACUGGGAUAACUCCGGGAAACCGGGGCUAAUACCGGAUAACAUUUUGAACCGCAUGGUUCGAAAUUGAAAGGCGGCUUCGGCUGUCACUUAUGGAUGGACCCGCGUCGCAUUAACUAGUUGGUGAGGUAACGGCUCACCAAGGCAACGAUGCGUAGCCGACCUGAGAGGGUGAUCGGCCACACUGGGACUGAGACACGGCCCAGACUCCGACGGGAGGCAGCAGUAGGGAAUCUUCCGCGAUGGACGAAAGUCUGACGGAGCAACGACGCGUGAGUGAUGAAGGCUUUCGGGUCGUAAAACUCUGUUGUUAGGGAAGAACAAGUGCUAGUUGAAUAAGCUGGCACCUUGACGGUACCUAACCAGAAAGCCACGGCUAACUACGUGCCAGCCGCCGCGGUAA
rnacentral:rRNA from 1 species